ensembl:lncRNA
GCAGCUAUAAUUUUCAAAAGUUUAAACUCUAAAGGACAGAUGCUAGGAGUUUUGUUUUUUAACUGGCUUUUUUCUAUGUUUGUCAAACAGCGCAGAUGUGCGAUCUCAACCAGAUGAACCUGUCUUGCUGCCGCACUUUGUUGUCAGUUGCCGUAAAUUGUGCCAGUCGCGACCGGUCGCGACACACCGCAAAGCAGACACAAACACUAAAUUAUGGAUUUUGGCGGAGAUAAUGGAAAGUACAGCAAAGAAGAGGAGGUGCAGCUUCAACAAAGACUGGGAAACUAUAUAUCACUGGGUGAAGCCGGUGCAAGGUGAUUCUCAGAGAGUUUUCUGUGAAGUUUGCCAGAGUUCGUUUUCCGUUUCACACGGUGGGGAAUACGACGUGAAGCGACACAGUACAUGCGAGACCCCCCCUCAGCUUUGAGUGAAACUAGCAGUUCCUCCUUAAAGUCAGAGAUUGCAGCAUCUGAGGGCCUCUUCAAAAGAAGACGUAGUUGAUGAAGGCGUUCUGGAGCAGGACCAGAAAGACCACAACCAAGCAGCCUUGAGAUCUUAGGCAGCGUCUCCCUCAGACCAAAGAACUACAGACUCUUCACAACCUGCUCAAACUCUUGGUACAGGACCUCACCACACGGGUCAAGAAGGUUUCCGUCUCAUUUCUACUCUGAAGCUCACCUUCUCCUGCUCAAACUGCUGACAAAUGUUUCUGCUGCUCUAAAGUCUGGUCUCCAGAACUUCCUAAAAACUCUCAAAGUCUCUUCUGCUGCAGGUUGCUUUGUAGAACUGUUGCAGAAAACCUCACUAAACCACAUGGAGGGGCCUCAAGAUAGUCGUCCAAAUGAAACCAUACAAAAACCAAACUAGCACAACCCAAACGCUAAAGUCUCCUGCAGCCUACCAGAGAACCUCUGAGAACAGAGAAUCAGGACAGGAACUCUUACCUUCUGGACAACCAACGUUGGUUCUCAAACAAGAAUACAGAAUGUGUCUGACCAAAAACCUCUGAAGACUCACUACAGCCAAGAUAAAGACACAACUCAGCUGUACCAAAUCCACUAAUCACUGCACACAUUAGCACCAUGUGCUAACUGGGGCUAAAGAACCACAUUUACAACUAUCCAGUACAAAGCCCUAAAACACACCAGGAAACACAUUAAAGUCUAUUUUACUGCUGGAAGCUGCAAGCCAACGCCUAAAGAACAAACUAAAGCAAUGAAGCCAAACCCAGUUCUGUGGUGAAGAGAAGCAGAGGAAAUGUUUGUCUGCAGCUAAACAAAGCAGGAAGACACUGAGCUGCUCAGGUGUUCCUGAUAACACCAAGCAGCCACCUGGACAGCCAAUAGGAACACAGCUUACUGGAAGUCCAGAGGGCUGGCUUAGUGAAGGAAAUUUAAUUUAAAGUUGAAGCAGAAAGUUAACAAAGAAAGUUGAAAACCACCUUCUGAUACCUGAAAUCUCUGAGUUUUCACACAAAGAAUGCCUGAACAUGUCAAACUGGUUCCAUAGUAGAAUCCAACAUAUUUUGGAUCCUUGUGGAGAGUUUAAUCUCAGAGUUUGUAAAGCUAUUGAGUUUUUAGAGUCACAUGGAUUGUUUUGACAUUUAAUAACCGAGUCCAGAAAAAAAAUUACAGUUGUGGAUUUCUGUCAUUUAGUCUGGACUAAACAAAUAACAGCAGCAUAAAUCUCAAACGUCAUUAUGAGGAGUCUGGAUUGAGGUUUCUCACUUGAUAAUGAUCAAAACAUGAAAUUGAGGUUGAUUUAAAGGAAUAUUCCACCCUAAAUUUGGAAAGAAAAUUCUUGUAAAUAUUUUCAAAAAAUGAGUAAAAAUCUUCCAAAAAAAAUCCUAAAAAUAUCUAAAGUGACUACAUAUAUAUCAGUAAAAUUUCUAAUAUUUUCUUUAAGAACAUUCACAAAAAAAUCAACCCAAAUCCAGCGAAAUUCGCCUGGUUUUCUUUUGGAGCUGCUGUAAUGGUGAAAUUUCCCCACUGUGGGAUCAAUAAAGUUUAUUUUAUCUUAUUUUAGAGAAUCAGAAUUUUAGAGAUAUACAGUCAUGGAAAAAAAUCAUUGGACCACCCUUGUUUUCUUCAGUUUCUUGUUCAUUUUAAUGCCUGGUACGACUAAAGGUACAUUUGUUUGGACAAAUACAAUGAAAACAACAAAAACAGCUCAUAAGAGUUUAAUUUCAGAGCUGAUAUCAGACAUUUUCCAUGGUUUUCUUCAUAAUGACCAAAAUCAUUUCAGUUCUUACAUCAAUAGCUAUGGCAAUGUACUGCCAAAAACAGCUUUUAGACAUGCCAUGUUUUCUUUUCUGUUUUAGUCACAUGAUCCACACAGGAGUUAGUACUUGAUUGCAUAACCAUUGUUUCUGAUGACUGCAGCCAUUUGCUCUCCACCAGCUUCUGACAUUGUUCUGCUGUCACAGCAGCCCAUUCCUGUCGCACAAAUUCAAACAAAUUUUGUUUCUGGGCUUGUGGUUCACCAUUUUGCAUUUGAUGAUUUU